CUUAGAUGUAUCUGUCUCUGUGUUUCAUUACCCUGAGUGCUCCCAGAAAGUGAUUGAAAAUGGCUUUGUUCUUUGCUUCCAUCACUGUAUUAUUCCAGACAAACCAUUACUUUAUUGCUCAGUCAGCUCUGGCAUUAAAGUGAGCAUGAACAAUUCAACUAAUUGAAUGGGAGAGGAAAACAUUUUCAACUGAUAUACUGCAAGAAAUGAGAUAGGAGUUUGAUUCUGACUGCUUUUUAUCUUGUUAGUCAAAGAAAAUUGAUGGUCCACAUAUUGAUUGAAACACAUAUAGAGCUUUGCCUGUCACCACAGUAGCAAGCAUAAAUCUUUCCUUCACUCUGAAUGUCACAGAAUUUCCACCCAGCUGCAACUGUGCAUCCGUGACAUUUGAAAAAGAAGCGGCGCCUCAAAGCUUCUUGCAGACCUGCUUGAGGCGAGGGGAGAACGGCAACAAAAACAGCUCUGUUAUCUGUCACUACGUGGAUUUAUCUAACCUUGUUCAGCACAGAAGAUCUCGACUCUAUUGAGGCACGCCUCACUGUCAGUCAGUCCUGAAUUGCGUUUGGUUGUACAAUUCACCCGAAAGUCACCCCGCUGAUUGAACACUCGACGGCUGUUUCCUGUGUUCUCAUGGGUGACUUAAAAUGGUGGUAAGUAUGGAGAAACAACCCCUCCCCCCACUUUUUUUGCACCAACAUGCAGCUACAGGGAUCACAUGCUGUACUGGAACAUGAGAAACCCAGCUAACACUGUUGCCAUGACAACCCAGCCAGAGGAUAACUGUUUUACAGCAUAUUACACCACCCACCACCUAGGCUGGCUGGGAAAUGUGUUGCUUUGGCAGCCGCUCAGGCUCACCAACUGCGGUGAUUAGAACACGUCUUGUAAAGGAAUUGCCUUCCGUCCUGCUAGAGCGACUGACAAAUGGCAAAAUGCAGAUAAAAAUGUUGAUGACCAGAUGUGACCAGUUGCCAAGCCAUCUGAUCCAACUCAGCACCAGAUGGUGAGCUGCAGCUCCUCUGCUCAAGCAUUUAAAGCAGCAUGUGUACCUGGAGCAGAGAUGAAGCGACCUGGGAAGCGAGGACAUUUCUAGACUUUAACAUUUCUGCAUAAGACAUGCUUAGUGACAACACAGUAUUGUCUGCUAAUAAAAACAUAAAUGUAUUCAUUUUUCCAGGAUGUGUUUUCAUCAUUGCCUUGCAUUUUUUGUGUUGGCAGAUUUUGAGUUUGAAUGCAGUUUUUCUUUAAAAUGUCAUCUCAACGUUAUUAAUUUAAUCUGGCUAGUAUAAGUUUCUAAAUCGAAAUAGGUUUUCCUUUUUAUGUAACCAGCUUCACUCUCAUUCCUGAAGGAAGGCUUCCCCACAACAAGAUGCUGCCAACACCCUCUACUCUGAUCUUCUAUGGUAAAUAUUACAUUUUUGGACCGUUCUCUUUAAAGCUGAGUAAUGGUUGUGUGUGACAACAGCAUUUUCUGAAAUACCAGCCUGUCUGACACAAGAAGCCACGCAGUGCUCAAGUAUCUUUACCAUCUCCAAAUGUCUAAACCUAAAGAUAAAUAAAUUUAAGUCUGGAAGUUUUCUCCUAAACAUGCACCAACUAUAAUAAAGCAAUUGAUUUUCUUGAAAAUUCUGUCUUAAUUAGAAUUUUUACAGCUUCAAAAUAAUGUAAGACAGAAGUACAAAUGCCAUCUUUUAAUAUUUUAUGAGAUCCUUUUACAUAAAGGUGUAAAUCUUUUUUUAUCCUUGCCUGGUAUGGUAAUCUGAGAUUGGCUAAUGAAACCAGAUGAGUUUCUCUGGUUGAAGAGGCUGACAUGCAGCUAGCAUGCUGAUCUUUAUUUUAAAGAUGUGCGAUGUUUUCCCUGCAGCCGGUUCCUGCCCAGCAGGCAGUGAGAAUCAGCAUCAAGGAAAACCAAGAAACAGAGUUUCUUUUGUCCUGCUUGUUUUUAUGUUCAAAAGCAAAAAUCUGUAGGGUCUGCUGCAUAUACUAAUGGCUACCACAGUUUAUUUGACACUGGGAUUGUGUUAUUUCAUUUAUGGGUAAUCUAAAAUGAAUUCCCUAUUGGUGUAAUGAAACUACCUUUCAUUAAAUUUCUCUUUACUCUCUUUUGUUUGAUCCCUAAAUGUGACACUCUAAAGAUUUCUAUUUUAAAAUUUACAAAACAAAUGACAGCGACUUUGUUUAAUGUAAAAUUAUCUUUGAAAUAAUUGUCUUUUCAGAUUAUCCACAGCUGUACAUCAAAAAAGUUAUUGCAGAAUUGAAAUUCAAAAAGAUGAAUUCAUGUGGUUUUAGACUCUCUCCACAUACAGGAAUAGAAUUCAAAUAUGUUUAUGGCAGCAUUCGUGAUUUUGGCUACUAAUGAAAACCCAAAAUUCAUAAUAAGUGAAUAUUGCAUAAGAGUAACACAGUUUACACAAUCCAAAAGAAGACUGGUGAUUACAAACAACAGGUAAAUGCUGAGGAAACUAGUUGUUCACAGUGCUGCAUCCAAGCACAUUAAGGAAAGUUUAGUGAAAGAAAAAAGUGUGGUAGAAGUUUGCGUGGGAAACAGGGAUAACUGCAGUCUUUAACGGAUUGUAAAGCAAUUGCGAAGAUUCACAAAACAUCUGAAAUCAGCGCUUCAACAUCCACCAAACCAAGACAUGAACCACAACGAUGACAAUGGUUGUCCAUGUCUAGAACCACAUUUCUGAUUCAGAAGAUGUUUAAGAUUUCUCCUGAACCAGAGACAGUAUCAUAUCUUACUUUGACUUAGGAGAAAAGAAAACUGGACGGUUGUUCAGAUGAAAGUAAACUUUAUAUUCCAGUUGGAAAUGAGACCCAGAGUUUGGGUGAAGUGUAAAAUUUUCAGUCAGUGAUGAUUUGGGAGCCAUGUCGUCUUCUGGUGUUGAUGUUCAAAGACAUACAACAUAUUCAUCAUUUUUUGGAUUGAACCACUGAUUAAGUACAUCUGUAUUUCCCCAAAGAUGAUUAAUCUUCAAACACGUUUUCUAAAAUGACUCAUUUGUGAGCAAAUUGUGCCAGGUGUGUCCUGCCUCUCGCACAAUGAGUCCCGUGAACCUGAGAGUUUGCAGACGAUGGACCUAAUCGCAGAGCGCUUAACAGACUGAAUACACAUGGAUCCAUGUUGCUGAAAAACUCUGCAGGGUAAAUAACAUUAACCUUAAUGAAUGAUACACAGAAUAACAAGAAAUCUGCAACUUUUAUUUAGAAAUAGUUUCAAAAAAUAAUGAAGUUAGCACACAUUCCAUAUACAAAAUGUCAGUGUUAAGCCUGAAUACGUAAUGGAACUGAAUAGCAACUAUGGUUUGUUUCUAAUGUUGAUUUGAAGAAACCUUGAAAAUAAUACAGCUUAGGUUGAGUAUUGACAGGGAAUUGAAGACAAAUGUGCUAAUUUUUAAAAAAAAUAGUGCAAAACAGAAGUGAAAACAGUUUAAAAGCAUUUUCAGAAUGCUGACAAAUAAAUUUAGUAUUUAAUGGAAGCAAAGUAGCUUUUGAAACGGGAUACAGUUUUUAAAUAUUUUAACUUUUUAUAUAAAAUAUAUGAUUUACGUAUAUAUAUUGUGUGUAUAUCUAUAUUUAUAUAUGUAUAUGUCUUACAUUAUAUUUCCAAUUUCAAAUAGGUAACCUCACAGUCUCAACAAUAAAAUGAAAACAAAUGGCAUUAAUGAAAUAAACGUAUGUAGUAUAAUGUGGCAACAACAUGCAACCGGUGCUACUUUAUUGUCAGAUCAAUGCAAAAAAUAUGGAGAUGGAAAAACAAAGCAAAAAGGCUAUUGUUAUUAGCACUGUCAUUGCCACCAACUGUACACCUAGAUACAAAAGUUACAGAAUGUAUCAGAGUCAUUUACAUUCACUGAGAUGACAGUUAUUUAUUAUAGUAAGACUAUAGUUAUACCUACUGGCACUAGAAUUUGGCACUCUUACUUAUUUGGCAUUUUGGACCUUCACCUAAGCCAUAUGAAAGUGGAUGCCUCCUCUUCAUGUCUUCAGAAUGUAAUACUAUAAUACCGUAUCAUCCUGUUCAUUGUUUUCCAUUCAUGACAUGUAAACAGAUUAUGUUUCUUCUUGAAAACAGAGCGGUAACUCUGGUCCUCGUCAGAAAAAUUACAAACAGCAAAAGCACUGAAGCCAACAGAGACAAAAGAACAAAAGAAAAUUGCUGCAACAACUCCAACAAUAAAAAGCUAAGAAGGAUUAUUUCCAAAUGUCAAGCAUUGACAUAUAGAUCAUAUCAACACCUAAUGUUAAAGAAUAAAAUAUACAGGAAAGUUUUUAUUAAGAAUUAAUUACAUGACUUUAAGAUCUCACUCUCUUAUGUAAUGUUUUUGGCUUUCAAAAUAUGGAACUAGAAGCUGUUUAGUACUUUUUAUCUGAACUCUCAUGUUAAGUCGUUCAUAUCCAACCAGUAUGUACGCAAGUUUAUUUAAAAGCUAUUCUGUGAAAAUACAUAAAAAUAUUUUUUUGUACAUUUUUUCUCUGCAAAUUUUCUUACAAAAAAAAAUCCAUUUCACAUCUUAAUGGAGGUGAUAACAAGUGUGCUUGAAAAUCCAGUUUGACGGUGGGGGCUACAGAAACAGUUGUAAUCAAUAAAUUGACCCCUCUCUCUCACACACACACACGCACACACACACACGCACACGCACACACUUGCACUAUUCAGGCACACAAAUACAGCGGGGCUGACUGAAUCGCUGACACCCAG